GACGAACGCUGGCGGCGUGCCUAAUACAUGCAAGUAGGACGCAGUUGCGAACGGGUGAGUAACGCGUAGGUAACUACCUAUUAGAGGGGGAUAACUAUUGGAAACGAUAGCUAAUACCGCAUACUAGUAGAUGGACCUACGUUGUAUUAGCUAGUAGGUAGGGUAAUGGCCUACCUAGGCAACGAUGCAUAGCCGACCGUGGAGGGUGGUGGGCCACACUGUGACUGGGACACGGGCCAGACUCCUCCGGGAGGCAGCAGUAGGGAAUCUUCGGCAAUGGGGGGAACCCUGGCCGAGCAACGCCGCGUGAGUGAAGAAGGUUUUCGGAUCGUAAAGCUCUGUUGUUAAGGAAGCGGUACCGGAAGAGAAAGCCACGGCUAACUACGUGCCAGCAGCCGCGGUAAUAC
rnacentral:rRNA from 1 species